GAUGAACGCUGGCGGCGUGCCUAAUACAUGCAAGUAGAACGCUGAAGGAGGAGCUUGCUCUUCUGGAUGAGUUGCGAACGGGUGAGUAACGCGUAGGUAACCUGCCUGGUAGCGGGGGAUAACUAUUGGAAACGAUAGCUAAUACCGCAUGACAACAGUUAUUGCAUGAUAACUGUUUAAAAGGGGCAACUGCUCCACUACCAGAUGGACCUGCGUUGUAUUAGCUAGUUGGUGAGGUAACGGCUCACCAAGGCGACGAUACAUAGCCGACCUGAGAGGGUGAUCGGCCACACUGGGACUGAGACACGGCCCAGACUCCUACGGGAGGCAGCAGUAGGGAAUCUUCGGCAAUGGACGGAAGUCUGACCGAGCAACGCCGCGUGAGUGAAGAAGGGUUUCGGAUCGUAAAGCUCUGUUGUAAGAGAAGAACGAGUGUGAGAGUGGAAAGUUCACACUGUGACGGUAUCUUACCAGAAAGGGACGGCUAACCACGUG
rnacentral:rRNA from 1 species